GAUGAACGCUAGCUACAGGCUUAACACAUGCAAGUCGAGGGGUAACGAGAGGAAAGCUUGCUUUCCUUGUCGACGACCGGCGCACGGGUGAGUAACGCGUAUCCAACCUGCCCCCAACUAGGGAAUAACCUUGCGAAAGUAAGACUAAUACCCUAUAAUUUCCUCAGAUGUCAUCUGACGAGGAAUAAAGAUUUAUCGGUUGAGGAUGGGGAUGCGUCUGAUUAGCUUGUUGGCGGGGUAACGGCCCACCAAGGCAACGAUCAGUAGGGGUUCUGAGAGGAAGGUCCCCCACAUUGGAACUGAGACACGGUCCAAACUCCUACGGGAGGCAGCAGUGAGGAAUAGUGGUCAAUGGGCGGAAGCCUGAACCAGCCAAGUAGCGUGCAGGAUGACGGCCCUAUGGGUUGUAAACUGCUUUUAUACAGGAAUAAAGUUAGCCACGUGUGGUUAUUUGUAGGUACUGUAUGAAUAAGGACCGGCUAAUUCCGUGCCAGCCGCCGCGGUAA
rnacentral:rRNA from 1 species